CUAACUCAAAUUUGUAUGGAGUUGGAAAAUUUGCGAACGUUUGCCGCUAGGGGCGCUGUUCCAACUGCAUACAAAUUUGAGUUA
rfam:Bombyx mori DNA, contig: Bm_scaf4_contig4141, strain: p50T/Dazao, build 2, whole genome shotgun sequence.